CAACAUCAAGGACGCUGAUGGAGUGAACAACAUUGAUCCUCUUGAUGUUCUACCAGGAAACCCUCUGGCAUUCAUAUCCAUGUCCAGCUCGAGGCAAAUACUGCUCUGGAGUGGCUUGAGAAACAUGACAAAGGGCCCAAGGUGACCGGUCUGACAGAUCUGUCAGAAUCUGUCAGACAGGCCACGCCCCCCGCCAUCUGGUGGUCUCUGGAGGAUGGAGUCCCAGGUAUUAGACGGUGUAGUCCCCCUCAUCCUGGUUCAUGGAGCAGCUCGCCCGCUUCCUGAUCUCGAUGGCCUCCUUGAUCCAUCAUUUAUGCUGCACGCUGAGCAUGGGCAAGAGAAAGAAGAGAAGAGAAAAGAAGAAGAGAAGAAAAUAAUUACUCAGCGUGGUCAAGAUCCAGUGUGCUGAAAAGAUAUGGAAGGACUUCACACAGCUACAGUAAAUACAGCAGUGAGCUGAAUGUGGACCACCAGCAUAUGAACCUAAUGAUUAAAAUCUCUCUCUGGUGUCCACUGAGAAACAAGUCACAUAAAUAAAAGUAGAAUUACAAGUUUGGUUUUUUUUUUAAUGGAGUUAUUAAAUAGUUAUUGUUUUCUAUGAUGACUGUGCAACAUCUAGAACUGCCUAUAUCAAAUGUAUUAGUUACAUAAAAUGCACUGUUUUUCAGCUACAGUUAGACCAUUUAACACUUUCAGUGAUUUUUAAUCAGAUAAGUCAUUGUUCUCUGUGUUUGUUGCCAUCUGUAUAUGAAAUGGUUUUCAUCAUAGGCUAAAUCAUACACAAGAAAUCUCUUAAAUGACCUCUCACCAUGAAUUAUAUUAAAAUGUCUCAGUAUCUGCUACUUCUCAGUGACCCGUCACAACAACAUAUUAGUUAAACAGAACAAUAAUCAACGUGUCGUAAACCAUUUAUCUGCAGGCAAAAUACAUAUAGCACUUUUGCAAAACUCUUCUACAGCAUUUGAGUGUGUGAGUUAAAGUGCGUCUCUAAGUAACAUAAGUUAGUGUAAUGUCCUCUGAAGUGCUGGAAACCCAGUUGUGUGUCAGUGUCUAUGUGUGUAUGUGUGUGUGUACUGAACUGCAGUAUCAAGAGCCUUAUUUUUUUAAACACACUGGUCAGCAGUGAGCUUUAAGUGAAAUCACAAAGCUCUUUCAGCAUAUAAAAAUCAAGACUGCAUGCUUCUUUACAAUGUGCUUAAUCAGAUGAAAUAACUGCUGUGUUCAUCUUGGACGGAAUGCCCCAAAUACAGAUUCAUCUGCUUUGCCCGUCCAGUUUUCCAUAGAGUCUAAAAACGGUACAAUGCUGUCACACCUAUUUUUACAAUACAAUAAAUACUCAAAGAACACUCACGGAACUCUCAUAAUGUGAUAUUUUACCAUAACAGAAUAAUCAGUUAUCUUGCUGAUUUGUAGACAUUCCUAAAAUUAGAACAUGCUGAAAUUAAUUUGAAUACUUAACAGAUUUAUUUUGUGUAGGAGUGCUAUUUUUGGUUAUGUGUGUGCUUUCUAACUAGGAGUCAUAUGAGAAAAUCAAUAUCAAAUCACCCCCAUGUAUUGACUAUAGAAACAGCUUCGGAAAUGUUUUUCUUAGCGUAACACUUGAAGGGUUUCAAAAAACCUUGUACUGCUCCAUGACUGCUAAAACUACACAAGCUGGAGGUUUUUUUUGCACAUUGUAUGGGUGUAUUUGUUUAAAAAAAUAAAUAAAUAAAUAAAAAUACAAAAGAGGGGAAAAAAUGAACAUUUUGUUGCUCACCAGUUAUUCUUUCUACAGUGAAGAUUUUUACCGAUCAUCAGUGCCUGCUGACCUCAAGCAGUAUCUUAGAAAUCUUACUCCCAAGUUGUUAGCUUUUCACACACUCUAAGCAAAACUUGCCAGUUAGCAGAGUGAAAUGAAAUGUCAUCAAUAAUAACAACAGGUGAACUAUUUCAUUUAUCUGGGGGAGUCAGGACACAAAGCUAAAACCAAAACCCAAACAUCAUGACAGUAAUGUGUCGUUAAAAGGGACAUAUCGUUCACAUUUCCAGAUCUAGUUUUUUCCUCUUGGGCUCUGCUGGCAUAUCUCUGCAUGAUUUACAGUUCAAAUACUUCUU